rnacentral:rRNA from 1 species
CGCAGCCGCGGUAAUUCCAGCUCCAAUAGCGUAUAUUAAAGUUGUUGCAGUUAAAAAGCUCGUAGUUGAAUUUCGGGGUCAGUAGGUUGGUCGUGCCACCGGUACGUACUGGUCUCACUGAUUCCUCCUUCCUGAUGAGCCGUAAUGCCAUUAAUUUGGUGUUGCGGGGAAUUUGGACUGUUACUUUGAAAAAAUUGAGUGUUUAAAGCAAGCUAACGCUUGAAUACAUUAGCAUGGAAUAAUGAAAUAGGACGUUCGAUCCUAUUUUGUUGGUUUCUAGGAUUGACGUAAUGAUUAAUAGGGAUAGUUGGGGGCAUUAGUAUUCAAUUGUC